rnacentral:rRNA from 2 species
UAGGGAAUCUUCCGCAAUGGACGAAAGUCUGACGGAGCAACGCCGCGUGAGCGAUGAAGGCCUUCGGGUCGUAAAGCUCUGUCCUCAAGGAAGAUAAUGACGGUACUUGAGGAGGAAGCCCCGGCUAACUACGUGCCAGCAGCCGCGGUAAUACGUAGGGGGCUAGCGUUAUCCGGAAUUACUGGGCGUAAAGGGUGCGUAGGCGGUCUUUCAAGCCAGAAGUGAAAGGCUACGGCUCAACCGUAGUAAGCUUUUGGAACUGUAAGACUUGAGUGCAGGAGAGGAGAGUGGAAUUCCUAGUGUAGCGGUGAAAUGCGUAGAUAUUAGGAGGAACACCAGUAGCGAAGGCGGCUCUCUGGACUGUAACUGACGCUGAGGCACGAAAGCGUGGGGAGCAAACAGG